UGGGGGAUAUUGCACAAUGGGGGAAACCCUGAUGCAGCGACGCCGCGUGAGUGAAGAAGCAUUUCGGUGCGUAAAGCUCUAUCAGCAGGGAAGAAGAAUGACGGUACCUGAGUAAGAAGCCCCGGCUAACUACGUGCCAGCAGCCGCGGUAAUACGUAGGGGGCAAGCGUUAUCCGGAUUUACUGGGUGUAAAGGGAGCGUAGACGGUGAUGCAAGUCAGAUGUGAAAGCCCGGGGCUUAACCGCGGGACUGCAUUUGAAACUGCAAUGCUGGAGUGCAGGAGAGGUAAGCGGAAUUCCUGGU
rnacentral:rRNA from 1 species